rnacentral:rRNA from 1 species
GACGAACGCUGGCGGCGUGCCUAAUACAUGCAAGUAGAACGCACAGUUUAUACCGUAGCUUGCUACACCAUAGACUGUGAGUUGCGAACGGGUGAGUAACGCGUAGGUAACCUGCCUGGUAGCGGGGGAUAACUAUUGGAAACGAUAGCUAAUACCGCAUAAUAUUAAUUAUUGCAUGAUAAUUAAUUGAAAGGUGCAAUUGCACCACUACCAGAUGGACCUGCGUUGUAUUAGCUAGUAGGUGAGGUAACGGCUCACCUAGGCGACGAUACAUAGCCGACCUUGGAGGGGGAUCGGCCACACUGGGACUGAGACACGGCCCAGACUCCUACGGGAGGCAGCAGUAGGGAAUCUUCGGCAAUGGACGAAAGUCUGACCGAGCAACGCCGCGUGAGUGAAGAAGGUUUUCGGAUCGUAAAGCUCUGUUGUAAGAGAAGAACGGGUGUGAGAGUGGAAAGUUCACACUGUGACGGUAUCUUACCAGUAAGGGACGGCUAACUACGUG